AGUCCCUGCAGCUUGCUGCUGGCCUCCACGCUUUCGGGUUUGCGUUCCAGAAGCUGGAACACAACACAGAACUUAUUACCUGCUCCGUCCUGCUGCCACUUCCGGGUGCCGUUAGCCGAGAGCAGUGUGUGCGGCUGCUGGGCUCGAGCUGUGUGUUAGUGGAAACGAUGUGACAGGCACACCUGUUUCCACUGCCAUUUGCUGUGUAUUGCCGGACAGAGCUGCCAGGGUGGUCAGAGGUGAAGCUGCUUAAUCACCAGCGUAAGACAGUGUGCUGGGAGAUGAGGAUUGUCUGAAGAUGGAAGACGAUCUGAUUGGAUAGUAUGGGGGCAGGUGGAAGGUGUACUGUGCCUUGCUGAACACUGUCUGCAAGUUAAGCAGGAAAGGUCCCAUCCAGGAAGGUAUCUUGUCUUGAAUGGCGCGGAUGGCAGCCGAAGUCGACCGACACACACACCGCUUGGUGUAUAAAACUAAAGGCACCAUAACUAUGGACUGUGAUGGAUACUUUUUGUAAAACAGCAACAGAUAUCACAUGUUACCCGGGUGGAUACUAAGGACUUUGUUCCGGAUGAGCAUAAGCUUUGCUUUGCGAGGCAUAUUAAUCAUGUUGUUGCCAUAUGAUGUGUAAAAGCCAUGCAAUGUUCAGUGUAACUUAUAUGUGAAAAGAAUCUGUAUUGCUGAGAUAAUAUUGAAAUUUAUGUGAGUCAAUGAAUAAGCCCUCUGCAAUGAAGGAGAGGUGAUGUGAUUAAAGAGUUUUAAGAAUA